rnacentral:rRNA from 1 species
UGGGGAAUAUUGCACAAUGGGCGCAAGCCUGAUGCAGCCAUGCCGCGUGUGUGAAGAAGGCCUUCGGGUUGUAAAGCACUUUCAGCGAGGAGGAAGGUGGUGAGCUUAAUACGCUCAUCAAUUGACGUUACUCGCAGAAGAAGCACCGGCUAACUCCGUGCCAGCAGCCGCGGUAAUACGGAGGGUGCAAGCGUUAAUCGGAAUUACUGGGCGUAAAGCGCACGCAGGCGGUUUGUUAAGUCAGAUGUGAAAUCCCCGGGCUCAACCUGGGAACUGCAUUUGAAACUGGCAAGCUAGAGUCUCGUAGAGGGGGGUAGAAUUCCAGGUGUAGCGGUGAAAUGCGUAGAGAUCUGGAGGAAUACCGGUGGCGAAGGCGGCCCCCUGGACGAAGACUGACGCUCAGGUGCGAAAAGCGUGGGGAGCAAAACAGGAUUAGAUACCCUGGUAGUCCACGCUGUAAAACGAUGUCGAUUUUGGAGGUUGUGCCCUUGAGGCGUGGCUUCCGGAGCUAACGCGUUAAAUCGACCGCCUGGGGAGUACGGCCGCAAGGUUAAAACUCAAAUGAAUUGACGGGGUCAUAGCUGUUUCCU